rnacentral:rRNA from 1 species
AAUGUAGUUUGGCGGCAUUCAAUCACUUUAGAGGAACCUGUCUAUUAAUCGACUCUCCACGAUAUAUUUCACUUUUAUUUAUAUUUUAUAUACCACCAUCUUUUAGGAUUAAUAUAAAUAUUCUUUCCUUAAUAGAAACUUCUCAUAAGUUAGGUAAAGGUGUAGACUAUAUAAAAGAUAAGAUGGGUUACAUUAAGAAAUACUGAAGGAUAAUCAUUCAAAUAUUUUUGGAAAAAGGAUUUAUUAGUAAUAUUAAAAGAUUAAUUAUAAAUGAAAUUGACAAAUAUGUGCACAUAUCGC